UUGUUAAUCGUUGCUGAAAGAAACAGCUGGGAAGGAUGUAAUAGCUGCCGAGUAUCUUAAAAAAGGACUACAAUUAAUAUAUCGGCUACAUAUUGUGAUUAAUAAAAUAUAGAAAAGUGAAGAAAUACGAAAUUCGUUACGUAAUUCUGUUCUAUGUACUGUCUUCAAAAGGGAGAUAUAGUAUUGUAAAAAUUACAGAGAAAUCUCACUAUUAAAUAUUGUCUAAUAUUCUACUUAAUAGAAUAAAAUGUUAUAUAUUCGAGAUAAUUGGAGAUUAUCAUGUAGGGUUUAUGGCA